GACGUAGGGCGCGAGCGUUUGUCCGGAUUUAUUGGGCGUAAAGAGCUCGUAGGCGGCUUGUCGCGUCGACUGUGAAAUCUCAGGGCUCAACUCUGACAUUGCAGUCGAUACGGGCAGGCUAGAGUUCGGUAGGGGAGACUGGAAUUCCGGGUGUAGUGGUGAAAUGCGUAGAGAUCCGGAGGAACACCAGUGGCGAAGGCGGGUCUCUGGGCCGAUACUGACGCUGAGGUGCGAAAGCGUGGGGAGCAAACAGG
rnacentral:rRNA from 1 species